CAGUCACACCAUAAUAAGCCUAUGCCUGCUCCCACAGGAAUGCAACCCAUGUAACUGAAUUAUAGCUGACAUGGCAGUUUGUUUCUUGGUUGUUAGUGCAUUGCCCUCUGAUUGGUUGUUAGGCUAAUAUCUUGCUUCUGAUUGGUUAAGCCAGCAAAGCAUAUCUGAUUCUAUAUAAGCUUAUUUACUAUAUUAGUUUCAUAAUUAAUUCCAUCCUAAUAGCUUGUAAUAAAAGCAACUAAGUAAUACAUUCUAUUUUCUCUCCUUAUCCAUUGUUGUUGUUCUACUUUGUGCUUCGUUGUGCAAAUCGUUCAGUUUCAACAUCUUCCCCUAUCUCUUGCAAUCUUAUCAUUUUGCCACCCUUCUAUCCUCCUAAUCGGGGCAUCACAUAUAUUGAUGGAACUAUUAGUCUUUUUCUGAAGGUUUCAGAUAUUGAUGAAAAUGAGGAAGUGUACUUUCCCUACAGAAAAGAGGUAAAAAGAAUGGGACACGGUAAUCUUUUGAACCCGAAAGUUGUAGAUGUUGCUCUAACCGUUAAUCUCAUGAGAUUAGUGUAUGAUGCAUCAUCAUUUAUAGGUGCUCCCCAGUUUUGUGGAUGUAAUGAUACCAUUACUUAUUGAGUUUUCUUACUGCAAAAUGGCAUGAAUAUUGGUCCAAGGCAUAGGAAGAAAUGGGUUCUAGCCUUGAGCAGGUUGAUAAUCAUCAAGAAGUCGAUUGCAAUACUAAUAUUACAACGGUUCCUGGUUUUUGUUGAGGCUUCUGUGGCCAAGCCGAAGAAGGUGUUGACGCAUUUCCAAAACUUAACAGCAUAAGAAAACAACUUAUUUGGUGCUGCAAUUACCAUUUGGCAAAUGUUGCUCCACAUCUCAACAAUCUUUUUCUUUGCACGAAUCAAAGAAUCCUUCAACCGUUCCGAGAGGUUGUCGUAAUAGGCCUUUAGGCUGCAAAAGGCCUGAUCAACUUUCUGGAGUAUAAAUCUGCAGCAGGGAGCUAGAACACCAUAGAUUAGCUUCCAUGUAUAGUUGCUCAAGUCCUUCAAUGCUUUGAUUCCGUACUUUGUAUAAUGUCGGAUUAACUCCCACAGUUUUUCGACAUAUGCUCGAAUGCUUUCCAUUGGGGUUUGAAAGUUAAAUCUUCAGAAUUUGAGAGUUAUUCAGGAUUUCAGGUUGUACUAUUUAUAAUUUAAUUUUAAAGUGUUAGUAAUCUCUAAUUAAUUACUUAAUUAUACUAA